rnacentral:rRNA from 1 species
GACGAACGCUGGCGGCGUGCUUAACACAUGCAAGUCGAACGGAAAGGCCCUGCUUUUGUGGGGUGCUCGAGUGGCGAACGGGUGAGUAACACGUGAGUAACCUGCCCUUGACUUUGGGAUAACUUCAGGAAACUGGGGCUAAUACCGGAUAGGAGCUCCUGCUGCAUGGUGGGGGUUGGAAAGUUUCGGCGGUUGGGGAUGGACUCGCGGCUUAUCAGCUUGUUGGUGGGGUAGUGGCUUACCAAGGCUUUGACGGGUAGCCGGCCUGAGAGGGUGACCGGCCACAUUGGGACUGAGAUGGGGCCCAGCCCCCCACGGGGGGCAGGGGUGGGGAAUUUUGCAAAAGGGGCGGAAGCCUGAUGCAGCAACGCCGGGGGGGGGAUGGCGGCCUUCGGGUUGUAACCCGCUUUCCCCUGUAACGAGGCGUGAGUGAGGGUAAUGGGUAAAGAAGCCCCGGCUAACUACGU